rnacentral:rRNA from 1 species
GGCGUGCUUAACACAUGCAAGUCGAACGGAAAGGCCCUGCUUGCAGGGUACUCGAGUGGCGAACGGGUGAGUAACACGUGGGUGAUCUGCCCUGCACUUCGGGAUAAGCCUGGGAAACUGGGUCUAAUACCGGAUAGGAGCCAUUUUUAGUGUGAUGGUUGGAAAGUUUUUUCGGUGUAGGAUGAGCUCGCGGCCUAUCAGCUUGUUGGUGGGGUAAUGGCCUACCAAGGCGGCGACGGGUAGCCGGCCUGAGAGGGUGGACGGCCACAUUGGGACUGAGAUACGGCCCAGACUCCUACGGGAGGCAGCAGUGGGGAAUAUUGCACAAUGGGCGCAAGCCUGAUGCAGCGACGCCGCGUGGGGGAUGACGGCCUUCGGGUUGUAAACUCCUUUCGCUAGGGACGAAGCUUUUUGUGACGGUACCUAGAUAAGAAGCACCGGCUAACUACGUGCCAGCAGCCGCGGUAAUACGUAGGGUGCGAGCGUUGUCCGGAAUUACUGGGCGUAAAGGGCUCGUAGGUGGUUUGUCGCGUCGUCUGUGAAAUUCCGGGGCUUAACUCCGGGCGUGCAGGCGAUACGGGCAUAACUUGAGUACUGUAGGGGUAACUGGAAUUCCUGGUGUAGCGGUGAAAUGCGCAGAUAUCAGGAGGAACACCGAUGGCGAAGGCAGGUUACUGGGCAGUUACUGACGCUGAGGAGCGA